GAUGAAGAACGCAGCGAAAUGCGAUAAGUAGUGUGAAUUGCAGAAUUCAGUGAAUCAUCGAAUCUUUGAACGCACAUUGCGGCCAUAGGUAUUCCUUUGGCCAUGCCUGUUCGAGCGUCAUUUACACCCUCAAGCCUAGCUUGGUGUUGGGCGCCUGUCCCGCCGUUUUCGCGCGCGGACUCGCCUCAAAGUCAUUGGCGGCGGUCGUGCCGGCCCCCUCGCGCAGCACAUUUGCGCUUCUCGGAGGCCCGGCGGAUCCGCGCUCCAGCAAGACCUUUCACGACUUGACCUCGGAUCAGGUAGGGAUACCCGCUGAACUUAAGCAUAUCAUAAGCGGAGGA
rnacentral:misc_RNA from 1 species